rnacentral:tRNA from 1 species
GGUGACGCUGCGGACUUAAAAUCCGUUGGCUUUAUUGACCGUGAGGGUUCAAGUCCCUCUACCCCCA